rnacentral:rRNA from 1 species
CCUACGGGAGGCAGCAGUAGGGAAUCUUGCUCAAUGGGGGAAACCCUGAAGCAGCAACGCCGCGUGGGGGAUGGAGGUUUUCGGAUCGUAAACUCCUUUUGUUAGAGAAGAUAGUGACGGUAUCUAACGAAUAAGCACCGGCUAACUACGUGCCAGCAGCCGCGGUAAUACGGAGGGUGCAAGCGUUACUCGGAAUCACUGGGCGUAAAGAGCGCGUAGGCGGGUUAGCAAGUCAGAUGUGAAAUCCUAUGGCUUAACCAUAGAACUGCAUUUGAAACUGUUAUUCUAGAGUAUGGGAGAGGAAGGUGGAAUUCUAGGUGUAGUGGUAAAAUCCGUAGAGAUCAAGAGGAAUACUCAUGGCGAAGGCGACCUGCUAGAACAUAACUGACGCUGAUGCGCGUAAGCGUGGGGAGCAAACAGGAUUAGAUACCCUUGUAGUC